CGCGAGCCCAGCUACCGCUUCGUAAUAAAUGUGGAAAAUUAGUUUUCAAUAAACACACGGCAGUAGCACCCCACUCUGGGACUGUGGUGUUUGCAGCAGUAGCACCACGGUGGAGGUGGAGAAGACCUUGUGUGUUGGUGUGGCUUUUUUGCUGCUGCUGUUUGGUGUGCCGUAUACGUACGGAUAGCUCUCGUCAGCGGUGUUUCACCGGAGGGGAAGUACUGUGAUUGACCGUGUGUACACCCGUCCCGUCCCCACAGCACAGACGAUCAGAUCCGGGGAUCCGCGUAACAGUGGCGACACUUGCUCGGUGAUCGUUUCCUCUGAUCGAUCGAAUUGGGAGUAGGCUUAGGGGAGAGAGAGACACAGAUAUUUGUGGUUGGAGGAUGAAGGAAAGAGUCUAACGAACACCUAACGGGCGUGAUAGAUCGUCUAGCGGUGUGUUACAACACAGAAAUCCCUCCAGCAUGCACAGACAGCAGUAACCUGCUGGUAAUAUCCAAACCUACAGGGUAACGUCAAGUAGGGGCGACGACGUGAUGAUACGAAGAUGAUAUCAUUUACAAACUCGGGGGAAGUGUGUGUGUGUGUGUGUGUGUGUGUGUUUACUUUCGGCCCCUGAUUGUGCGGGAGUUUCGAGCGGCACCGGCAGCACUAAAGUGAGUGAAUGCACGAAGUACCCACACGUCCGUCGUUUGUGCGAUGAGUUGAUUGCUUGAGGCUAAAGGAAGGCCGCUACGCGCGGUAUGAUCGACGAAAAGUGUAAUUAUCGUAUGACAACAUCCUAUCAAACACCAGCCGGGUUAACGCGAUGGUACGGAUCGGAUUCGUUGCGCGAUCAAUCCAGCGGAGCAACGUGGCUGAAACGGCUGGUUCGGUUGGGUUCAUACGAGUGAACAUUCUUCAAAAAUUAUAGCUGAUUAUACUCAUGAUGCGUCGUACCGUCGAUCAUCAUCUAUCUAAUAUGCUGAAAAAUUUCCAAUAAAUACACCAGCAUAUUUUUCUAUUUACCUUCAGGCAGUGAAUUACAUUAAACGUUAUUUUAAGAUCCCCCACCUUCGCUCCAAAAACUGUGAUAAGAGCACUGUGAUGAGAAGCAAUUAAAUUAAGGCAGUCAAGCGGGUACUAGGGUGAGAGUAGGGGAGAGAGAAAUUUCAUUAAACCACAUAGUUGCGUCAGAGAACGAUUUUGGGCACUGUCGAAGCAAAAGAAUACGAUGCUAGGAACUAGGGGCGCCAGAUGGUGUGAGCGAAGCGAAAAUAAUACCGAGAACUCUGUAUUUGCUUUGUAAAAACAAAGGACAAUUGUCUGCGCUAAGGCACGUGCGCGCUUUUGGUGGCCGAUCGGCCUUUCUUAGAAUUUCAUAGGUUAAGCGACAAACCACAGAAGUUUGCUAUCAUGAGCGUAUGAAAUAAAAGGGCAGUCCAUCUUUAGCACUCGACGCGAUCGGUCAAAAUAAAAGAAUUUUCACAGCA